CUUUUCCUGUGGCAGCAGCCGGGCUGAGAGGAGCGUGGCUGUCUCCUCUCUCCGCCAUGGCGUGUGCUCGCCCACUGAUAUCUGUGUACUCCGAAAAGGGGGAGUCAUCUGGCAAAAAUGUCACUUUGCCUGCUGUAUUCAAGGCUCCUAUUCGACCAGAUAUUGUGAACUUUGUUCACACCAACUUGCGCAAAAACAACAGACAGCCCUACGCUGUCAGUGAAUUAGCAGGUCAUCAGACUAGUGCUGAGUCUUGGGGUACUGGCAGAGCUGUGGCUCGAAUUCCCAGAGUUCGAGGUGGUGGGACUCACCGCUCUGGCCAGGGUGCUUUUGGAAACAUGUGUCGUGGAGGCCGAAUGUUUGCACCAACCAAAACCUGGCGCCGUUGGCAUCGUAGAGUGAACACAACCCAAAAACGAUAUGCCAUCUGUUCUGCCCUGGCUGCCUCAGCCCUACCAGCACUGGUCAUGUCUAAAGGUCAUCGUAUUGAGGAAGUUCCUGAACUUCCUUUGGUAGUUGAAGAUAAAGUUGAAGGCUACAAGAAGACCAAGGAAGCUGUUUUGCUCCUUAAGAAACUUAAAGCCUGGAAUGAUAUCAAAAAGGUCUAUGCCUCUCAGCGAAUGAGAGCUGGCAAAGGCAAAAUGAGAAACCGUCGCCGUAUCCAGCGCAGGGGCCCGUGCAUCAUCUAUAAUGAGGAUAAUGGUAUCAUCAAGGCCUUCAGAAACAUCCCUGGUAAUUAAACUGCUUACAUAUAUUGACUAGGUAUACUCUGCAAGUCUACUCAGCUUUUGUUAUGAUGAGAUUCCACUUAAGGUCCGUGUUUCUGAAACACAUGAUUUUGUGGAAGUUCUGAUUUAUGGCUGAAAGAGUUGCACCAUUGAUGGUUGAAACUUCAUAAUUAAUAAGUUCUCAGGUACCUUUUAUAGGUCUUAAGCCAUAAAGAUAAUUUGUGUUUCUUUUGUUGAAAUACAGGCUCCCUAAUUUUUCUUUCCCUUUAAAAGGAAUUACUCUGCUUAAUGUAAGCAAGCUGAACAUUUUGAAGCUUGCUCCUGGUGGGCAUGUGGGACGUUUCUGCAUUUGGACUGAAAGUGCUUUCCGG
rnacentral:sRNA from 1 species